GUUGGCUGAGUGGUACGGCAUCUGCUUUGCAUGCAAAAAAUCCCAGGUUAAAUCCAUGGCAUCUCCA